UAGGGAAUCUUCCACAAUGGGCGAAAGCCUGAUGGAGCAACGCCGCGUGUGUGAUGAAGGGUUUCGGCUCGUAAAACACUGUUGUAAGAGAAGAAUGACAUUGAGAGUAACUGUUCAAUGUGUGACGGUNUCUUACCAGAAAGGAACGGCUAAAUACGUGCCA
rnacentral:rRNA from 1 species